UACAGAGGGUGCGAGCGUUAAUCGGAAUAACUGGGCGUAAAGGGUGCGUAGGCGGAACGCUAAGUCAGAUGUGAAAUCCCCGGGCUUAACCUGGGAAUUGCAUUUGAAACUGGCGAUCUAGAGUAGAGGAGAGGAGAGUAGAAUUUCAGGUGUAGCGGUGAAAUGCGUAGAUAUCUGAAGGAAUACCGGUGGCGAAGGCGGCUCUCUGGCCUCAUACUGACGCUGAGGCACGACAGCGUGGGGAGCAAACAGG
rnacentral:rRNA from 1 species